UAGGGAAUAUUGCUUAAUGGGCGAAAGCCUGAAGCAGCAACGCCGCGUGCACGAUGAAGGUCUUCGGAUCGUAAAGUGCUUUUUUAGAGGAUGAGGAAGGACAGUACUCUAAGAAUAAGCCUCGGCUAACUACGUGCCAGCAGCCGCGGUAAAACGUAGGAGGCGAGCGUUAUCCGGAUUUACUGGGCGUAAAGCGUGUGCAGGUGGUUUGGUAAGUUGGAUGUGAAAGCUCCUGGCUUAACUGGGAGAGGUCGUUCAAUACUGCCAGACUUGAGAGUGAGAGAGGGAGGUGGAAUUCCGGGUGUAGUGGUGAAAUGCGUAGAUAUCCGGAGGAACACCAGUGGCGAAAGCGGCCUCCUGGCUCAUUUCUGACACUCAUACACGAAAGCUAGGGUAGCAAAC
rnacentral:rRNA from 1 species